rnacentral:rRNA from 1 species
UACAUAGGGACCUAGCGUUGUCCGGAAUCAUUGGGCGUAAAGCGCGCGUAGGCGGCCCGGUAAGUCCGUUGUAAAAGUCGAAGGCUCAACCUUCGAAAGCCGAUGGAUACUGCCGGGCUAGAGUACGGAAGAGGCGAGUAGAAUUCCUGGUGUAGCGGUGGAAUGCGCAGAUAUCAGGAGGAAUACCCAUAGCGAAGGCAGCUCGCUGGGACGUUACUGACGCUGAGGCGCGAAAGCGUGGGGAGCGAACAGG